GUUCCGACCUGCACGAAUGGCGUAACGAUGGCGGCGCUGUCUCCACCCGAGACUCAGUGAAAUUGAAAUCGCUGUGAAGAUGCAGUGUAUCCGCGGCUAGACGGAAAGACCCCGUGAACCUUUACUAUAGCUUUGCACUGGACUUUGAAUUUGCUUGUGUAGGAUAGGUGGGAGGCUUUGAAGUGGGGACGCCAGUUCUCAUGGAGCCAUCCUUGAAAUACCACCCUGGCAACUUUGAGGUUCUAACUCAGGUCCGUUAUCCGGAUCGAGGACAGUGUAUGGUGGGUAGUUUGACUGGGGCGGUCUCCUCCCAAAGAGUAACGGAGGAGUACGAAGGUGCGCUCAGACCGGUCGGAAAUCGGUCGUAGAGUAUAAAGGCAAAAGCGCGCUUGACUGCGAGACACACACGUCGAGCAGGUACGAAAGUAGGUCUUAGUGAUCCGGUGGUUCUGUAUGGAAGGGCCAUCGCUCAACGGAUAAAAGGUACUCCGGGGAUAACAGGCUGAUACCGCCCAAGAGUUCAUAUCGACGGCGGUGUUUGGCACCUCGAUGUCGGCUCAUCACAUCCUGGGGCUGAAGCCGGUCCCAAGGGUAUGGCUGUUCGCCAUUUAAAGUGGUACGCGAGCUGGGUUUAGAACGUCGUGAGACAGUUCGGUCCCUAUCUGCCGUGGACGUUUGAGAUUUGAGAGGGGCUGCUCCUAGUACGAGAGGACCGGAGUGGACGAACCUCUGGUGUUCCGGUUGUCACGCCAGUGGCAUUGCCGGGUAGCUAUGUUCGGAAGAGAUAACCGCUGAAAGCAUCUAAGCGGGAAACUUGCCUCAAGAUGAGAUCUCACUGGGAUCUAGAAUCCCCUGAAGGGCCGUCGAAGACUACGACGUUGAUAGGUUGGGUGUGUAAGCGCUGUGAGGCGUUGAGCUAACCAAUACUAAUUGCCCGUGAGGCUUGACCAUAUAACACCCAAGCAAUU
rnacentral:rRNA from 1 species